UUCAAGCUAGUUCUUUUUGUGUGUUAUUGCUUCUUUGCAGCUUUAACGAAUUUGGAUAGUUUGAACUUGGAUUCCUGUGGGAUAGGUGAUGAAGGGCUUGCUAAUCUGACAGUGUCAAAUAAAAACUGCAUCAUCAAAAACCCUUACCGAGAUCUCUCUAAUCUAGCAGGACCAAAAGACUGGUCAAAAGAGCAAAAGAGGAAGUCCUCAAGGUUCAUCUUGGCACCGAUUGACACUUAUUAAGAAAUUCUUCGCUCUGUCUAUCUCUCACUCGGUCUGAUUCUCUAUUUCUCUCUGAUUCUUUGCUGUAAUUAUUAUUAUUUUGGUUUGAUUUGUUUUGGUUUUUGAAUAGCGGCAUCCCAUUUCCCCCACCAACACAAGAGUAAAUUAACACGGUUGAAUUUGAAGGAACGAAAUUGGAAAAUCUUUGCCUCAUUUCGUGGUUUCAUUGCCAGAGAGGUUUCUCAGAAUUGCCAAAGUCAAAUGGUUUCCUAAUUAUUGAAUCAAAUGGUGGGUUGAACCAACAUCGCUUAUUGAUUGCAAAAAGAAGAGGCACUAUAAGUUUGUGUGAUCAAAGCAAGUGAAGUUGGUGAAA